CAAAAUGAUGAAUUCAGGAGUUGCGACAAAGGAUGUGGCCAGGGAAAAAUCUGGCUGCAGAGCAUCAAAUGAUGUAGCUAGGGAACCCUAACUACAGAGCCUCCCAUAUAUAUAUGUAUAUAUAUAACCUUACUAUAUAUAUAAUUAAUAUUAAUCCUUGUCAAAUCUAGUAUAUACAAGGGGAAUCUGACUAUUUAAUUAAAACAAAGCAUUGUGAUGGUCCCUGCGGAUGCUGAUGUAAUGUGAUUUAUACCCAGUGCUCUGCAUGUGAAAGUGAAUAAAUUCAACCAAGCACGGGUAAAUUAUGAGAGUAACUAUGACUCUCUUAAGGUAUUUAGAUGCCUAGUCAUCUAAUUAGUGACAUGCGUGAAUGGAUUAAGAAGAUUCCCACUGUCCCUCGAUACUAUCUAUAGAAACCACAACAAACGAAUAUUAG
rnacentral:ncRNA from 1 species